rnacentral:rRNA from 1 species
AACGAACGCUGGCGGCAGGCCUAACACAUGCAAGUCGAGCGCCCGUUCGGGGGGGCGGCGGACGGGUGGGUAACGCGUGGGGAUAUGCUCUUCUCUACGGAAUAGCCUCGGGAAACUGAGAGUAAUACCGUAUACGCCCUGUGGUGGCAAGAAUUAUCGGGGAAGGAUUAGCCCGCGUUGGAUUAGGUAGUUGGUGGGGUAAUGGCAUACCAAGCCGACGAUCCAUAGAUGGUUUGAGAGAAUGAUCAGACACACUGAGACUGAGAAACGGCACAGACUCUUCCGGGAGGCAGCAGUGCCGAAUCGUAGACAAUGGCGGCAGUCAUGAUCUAGCCAUGCCGCGAGAGUUCUGAAGGCCUUAGAGUUGAAAAGCGCUUUCAGCUGGGAAGAUAAUGACGGUACCAGAAGAAGAAGCCCCGGCUAACUCCGUG